rnacentral:rRNA from 1 species
GAUGAACGCUGGCGGCGUGCCUAAUACAUGCAAGUCGAACGGGGAGUAGCAAUACUCUUAGUGGCGAACGGGUGAGUAACGCGUUGGUACCUGCCCCGAAGCGGGGGAUAACGGACCGAAAGGUCCGCUAAUACCCCAUGUGCUCGGUAACGAGUAAAGGUGAAAACCACUUUGGGAGGGGCAUGCGUCCCAUCAGCUAGUUGGUAAGGUAACGGCUUACCAAGGCGAUGACGGGUAGGGGACCUGAGAGGGUGGCCCCCCACAAUGGAACUGAAACACGGUCCAUACACCUACGGGUGGCAGCAGUAGGGAAUAUUGGUAAUGGGCGCAAGCCUGAACCAGCAACGCCGCGUGUGCGAGGACGGCCUUCGGGUUGUAAAGCACUUUUGACUGGGACGAGGAAGGACGGUACCGGUCGAAUCAGCCUCGGCUAACUACGUG